UCACCUAACCGGGCAGAGUUUGUGCCUGACCGGGUGAAAUUCUGGGACCAGGCAGAAUUUUGGCCUGACCGAGCAGUUAGUUUUAUGACCGGGCCUUCAGUUUUCUGACCGGACGAGACCUUCUUCUUCCUUCGUCUUUUCAUUCCCCCAACCUUCGCACCAUACUAGACCCCCCCUUCCCCUGUUUCACUCCUUCGUCCUUACUUCUUCACUCUUCACCCAUCUCUAUCCGCCACCAUCACCGAUAACCAUCAAGAACCGUCACACCACCAUCGUCAACAACCACGACCCUACAACCCACCACCACAGCAGGCCUCCCUUGCGUCUCCCUCUCGAAUGCGUGACCUCCCACCAACAGCAACCCAACGCUCCCGCCCAGUACCGCGUCCUUCUUGUGCAAUGCCACACAUCUCGCCGGAUUCUGCCGCUCCACCACCAUGAUCACAGCUUCCGUCUUCUUCGGCCAAGACACGAACCCUUUUCCCCUCUGAUCUUUUAUUUCUUCCUUUUUUUUCCCUUUUGCUUUUCUUUUCAUUUAAAUUAGUCUGAUUUUUCUUCUUUUUAUUUUUUUGUCUUUUAUUAUUACCUUGUCCAUGAUCAUCUAAUUCUUUUUCUUUCUUUAAUUAAUGAUUGUUGUAGGAUUUGUGCAAAUGGCAACAAAAUGUUCAAGUUAGUCUUCAAGAAGUCCGGUCUCAGCUUCAUAAGUGGAAUGUUUUUAGUAGUCAGCGAAGAUUCUCGGUUACAAGGUCCCAGUUUCAUAAGCGACAUGUUUUGAGUAGUCAGUGAAGAUUCUUUGUUACAAGGAAUCUCAAUACCAAAAUGGAGGUCAAACAAAGCCACCGGAAAUUAAUUUCAACAAUCACUCAGAAAGCACUUAUAUGAGGAAACUUUACAAAUCACUCAUAGAAUUGAGAAAAUGCACAUUCGUCCAUCGGCGAUUUGCGAACUUUCAAACAGUAGUGCGUUUUGAUAGGAACACGAAGUGUUUGUGGAAAGCUCUAAGAGAGAGAAACUUGAAGUUAGAGGGUAGAAGAAGCUCAUGAAUGUGUAAACCAUUCCACUUCGUCGCUGGAAAAGGUGAAAUCUUCUAGCUUUAAAAUUCAAGCGGAAAGAGGAAUUUUCAUCAAGGGAAAAGAUACAGAUGCACUAUUGUUUGUAGAUACCAAGCUUGAUUUGUAUAGUUGGUUGGGGGCUACAAAUUUGAAUCUUCUGAACUACGGUACAUGAAGGAGAAAGCGACUAUCUCUAUGUGAAGAGAGGCUAAGUUGAAGGGCGGAUUCUAUGUCGAAGCUGAAGCUAAGCUCUUCUUUAUCGUUCAUAAUAGAGGGUUGGAAAACGUCAAAGGGAGUUGAGUUCCUGAGUAGGAGUUUGCAGCAAAAGACCUUGAGUAAUAGCCCAAUGCAUGAAGUGAAGUCACAUUGGAAGUCAAGGAACGUUUCAAGUAUCAAGUAUUGUAUAUCUUAUGUCAACAGAGGGGUCUCAAACAUAUGAUCAGAGUGAUCGACCGCUUAGGGCCCCCAAUUAUAAGGGGCCCCACCUAUAUUUUAUUUUUCUUACAUUUUAGGCACUUUAGAUUUAGAUGGAAAAUACAUUUAUUAAUCCAAAUUUUUUGCCGCUAAUCUAUAUACUUUAUUUUCAUAUUUCAUAGCUUAUUGUAGUUUUAAGGUAU